rnacentral:rRNA from 1 species
GACGAACGCUGGCGGCGUGCUUAACACAUGCAAGUCGAGCGGUAAGGCCCUUUCGGGGGUACGACGAGCGGCGAACGGGUGAGUAACACGUGGGUGACCUGCCCUCCAGCUCUGGGAGUAAGCCUGGGAAACCGGGGUACUAAUACCGGAUAUGACUCCAUGACGCAUGUUGUGGGGUGGAAAGCCUUGUGCGGCUGAGGAUGGGCCCGCGGCCUAUCAGCUUGUUGGUGGGGUGAUGGCCUACCAAGGCGACGACGGGUAGCCGGCCUGAGAGGGCGACCGGCCACACUGGGACUGAGACGCGGCCCAGACUCCUACGGGAGGCAGCAGUGGGGAAUCUUGCGCAAUGGGCGAAAGCCUGACGCAGCGACGCCGCGUGAGGG